rnacentral:rRNA from 1 species
GACGAACGCUGGCGGCGUGCUUAACACAUGCAAGUCGAACGGAAAGGCCCUGCUUUUGUGGGGUGCUCGAGUGGCGAACGGGUGAGUAACACGUGAGUAACCUGCUCUUGACUUUGGGAUAACUUCAGGAAACGGGGGCUAAUACCGGAUAGGAGCUCCUGCUGCAUGGUGGGGGUGGGAAAGUUUCGGCGGGUGGGGAUGGACUCGCGGCUUAUCAGCUUGGUGGUGGGGUAGUGGCUUACCCAGGCUUUGGCGGGUAGGCGGCCUGAGAGGGUGACCGGCCACAUUGGGACUGAGAUACGGCCCAGACUCCUACGGGAGGCAGCAGUGGGGAUUAUUGCACAAUGGGCGGAAGCCUGAUGCGGCAGCGCCGCGUGCGGGAUGACGGCCUUCGGGUUGUGAACCGCUUUCGCCUGUGACGAAGCGUGAGUGACGGUAAUGGGUAAAGAAGCACCGGCUAACUACGUG